CUUGAAUUAGAGUGGCAGUCGUUAAAGCAGAAGGCAGUGGGCACAAAUGGUAGGCGUUCACCAGCUAUCCUUUCAAAUGUCCUGGAAAAGUCAAAGCGUGUACAUUGGAAGUGAUAGAAAUCAUCCCUCUCCAAGAAAUAAAAUAAAACUAUUUUAAGGCUACAUGUGCGAAUGAAAAUCCCAACAUGCUUUGCAACUGUAGGACAAUGCUCUUCACACCCAGGUUACCUGCAUUAGCCACUGGGCACUUGAUGCAUGGCGGAUCCAGAUGGAAGAUGGUGGAUUUGCAAUACUCCUUCUUCCUCUGAACAGAAAGAAAAGGUAUCUUGGAUUGAACUCGGCUGAUUUUAUAUUAAGAACAGAAUGUUGGAAUUUCUGAUGAAUGUUUUCUGUAGACAGGAGAAAUUCUGAAGGAUUCACCCUCCCGCCCCUAAUGUUUGAGCUCUCAGCUACUGGACAAUCCUCUGCACAAUAGAGGAGACCAAUUGCUGUUUGAAUGUGUGCUAUCAAUCACCAAUUUGUAUCUGGUUAUUUUUGUGCUUGUGCUAACUUCUGAGCAAGAUAAACUUAUGGAACAACAUUAACAUCUUAACAAGCUCAAUGUGUUGUGUAACAUGGAGUGGAAAAAUCUUCUGUUAAUUGUCAGUUAAUUAGCAAAACAGAAGAUAAAGGGUUUAACUGCUAAAAUGUUCUUUCCAUUUAAACAAUAAUAUCAUCAAAGUGGCAAGUUAACUGAAUCACUUCUGAAGCAAAGGUGACAGAUAGGAGAAUAACUGUAUUGUUUCAGGAACUCUAUCACAGUUCUCCAUUUCAUGUGCCAAUAGAGAAAUGUUCUUAAAAUGUUUAUAGCCCAAUUCUCAAUGGAUUUGGACUCUGUGUAUCCUGUAUUAUUAACACAGAGAUAAAAAUGGCUAAGACCCUAUAUAUGUCUGUCAAUAAGACAUUUUUCUUUGCUGGUAUGGCAUAGAUUAUACUGAGAUAUCCCUGUGUUAUUUGUAAUCAAAUCUCCAUGUUUUUCUUCCAAGAGAUCCUUUUCCCAAAUGUACUAUUAUAAUUUCUUAUGCACUGCUUGUUGCAAUAAGACACUUUUAAUAGGCUAUAAAAUGAGGCAUCUGGAAAUGUACACUGAGUAGCUUUAGCUUACUUUGUAGCAAUUCUGUGCUAUGUUCAACAUUAGUUAGUACCUUGAGGGUGACCAUCCUGGUUUGGAAUGUUUAAAGGUUUAAUCCACUGGGACAUAUGUGUUCUCUUUUAUCAACAAGUCUUAGAUCUUUGACCAAUAUAUACAUGUUGCAAAGAAAUCCUUAAAAAUUAUAGCUUUGUCUGUGAGUUAAUGCACUUCUCAUUAUGUAACUGUCAACCUGAUCUCUUAAAUUAGUCUACUUAAUUCUACGUAUAGGAUGUUGCACUGUACUGAAAUAAA